AAACAGGAUUAGAUACCCUGGUAGUCCACGCCGUAAACGAUGUCGACUAGCCGUUGGGAUCCUUGAGAUCUUAGUGGCGCAGCUAACGCAUUAAGUCGACCGCCUGGGGAGUACGGCCGCAAGGUUGAAACUCAAAGGAAUUGACGGGGGCCCGCACAAGCAGUGGAGCAUGUGGUUUAAUUCGAAGCAACGCGAAGAACCUUACCAGGUCUUGACAUCCUUUGACCACCUGAGAGAUCAGGCUUUCCCCUUCGGGGGACAAAGUGACAGGUGAUGCAUGGUUGUCGUCAGCUCGUGUCGUGAGAUGUUGGGUUAAGUCCCGCAACGAGCGCAGGUCGACGCGGCCG
rnacentral:rRNA from 1 species